UGCAGGUCAGGUAAUGGGUCGCGUUCUAAGUGUAGCGGGUACCCGUUAUUUACCCGUUUUUUUUUUUUUUACUUUUUUUUUUUCUGGAAACAUUUUACUCCACUAGGGUUACUUGUUAUUGGGCUUUUGUGAGUUAGUGUCUUCGUGAAUAGCAGUAGCCGCUAUUCUUCUCUCCUCAGUUCCUCACCCUUCUUCUCUCUCCUCUUUCCUCUCCCCUCUCCCCUCUCCCACCUCUCAACACUCACUCUCAAAUCCCCGGCGACACCACACGCACAUCACCUCACUCCAGGCGAGCACUAUACUCACUCUCAAGCGACCACCGCCCUCACUCUCAGGCGACCACCGCACGCACCGCACCUUACUCACCGUUAGCCUCGUCAUCAGGGAAUAAAGACUUGGUUUAAGAGAAAACAACAAUUAUCAUUGAUGAAAGUCAUGAGACAAUUGAAGCUUCGGCUCCUGAUUUAGUUUGAUUUGUGGCUCUGAGAUAUUGUUUAGACUUUGUAAUUUAUUUGGUUUUUUUGUUGUUUUAAUUUGAUGUAAACUCUCUGAUUUGAAACACACCGCAAAAUAAACACAUAAUUUUUUUAAUUUUUUUUAUUAUAAUUAAAACAGUA